ensembl:lncRNA
CUUUUUGCCUUUUCUAGGGCCUCACCCGAAGCAUGUGGAGGUUCCCAGGCGAGGGGUUGAAUCAGAGCUGUAGCCGCCAGCCUAUGCCAGAGCCACAGCAAUGCGGGAUCCGAGCCGUGUCUGCAACCUACACCACAGCUCACAGCAACGCUGGAUCCUUAAUCCACUGAGCGAGGCCAGGGAUCGAAUCUGCAACCUCAUGGGUCCUAGUCAGAUUCGUUAACCACUGCGUCACGAUGGGAACUCCACAAUUAUUUUUAAUGAAAACGUUUUAGAGUCAAAUAAAGGAGUUCUAGAUUCUACUCCUCAUUUUGCCACUAACCAUGCAGCCUUUGGUCAUAUCAUCUCAUUUCUGAGGCUUAGUUUUCUCAUCAAGAGGUAUUCAUAAAAUUAAUUCUCAAUCAUUUUUAAAUAAAAAAAAUCAAAUGAUAAAGAACAGGGGUCUGAGAGUAAUCUCUUUGGUUACCUUAAUUUCAUAUAUUUUUCUGUUUCAACAAAUUUCACCUAUUUCUCAUUUCUAUACAGAAAUAAAACUACUUUAGUCAACAAUGACAAAACAGUAUCGGAAAGAACACUGAACUCACAAUCAGAAGAACUGUGUUCAAACCCUGGUUCUUCUGUGCAAUCUUGGAAAAGUUACCCUUUUAGGUCUCAGAUUCCCCAUCUGAAAAAGAUGGACAAAAAUACCCUCCUUUCAAAAAGCUGUCAUUAAAGGUUAAGCGGAAUCACAUAUGUUAUGCAACUAGUAAAAUACCCAGCACAUGGCCAGUGCUCAGUGAAUUUUAAUUUUUUGUUUUGUUUUUAGGGCCACACCUGAGAGGCAUAUGGAAGCUCCCAGGCUAGGGGUCCAAUUGGAACUGCAGCUGCUGGCCUACACCAUAGCCACAUCAACAUGAGAUCUGAGCUGUGUCUGCGACCUACACCACAGCUCACGGCAACGCUGGAUCAUUAACACACUAAGCGAGGCCAGGGAUGGAAGCUACAUCCUCAUGGAUAAUAGUUGGGUUCAUUACCACUGAGCCAAGAAGGGAACUCCAGUAAAUUUUAAUUUUUUAAAAAACCACAGAUUUUGCUACUUCUUCACAUUCUGCUUCCCUAUCUACUGAUUUCCUCCAGCACUAUCACUUAAUAUUUAAUAAUGUUGGACUUUUCAACAGGUUAAUAUCUUUCAUCAAUUUUCUGACAAUAUUAUAAAAGUACUGCUAUGUAUGCUUAUCAACAAUUCUAUUAUUUGCAAACAUGACAAUUUGGUUCUGCAUGAUUUAUUAGAAAUAAUGCCACAAACUACAAUCUCAAUACUAAAACAGCUUUCAGAUUAAAUGCAGACCUCAUAAUAACAAUAAUUAGCAUACAUUUUGGAGCAGCAUUUCUCGAGUUUUCAUUCUGUGCCUAUACCAUGGUAUUACAAUAAAUAAAAUAGACACAAACAGGGCUUACACACAUGUAAACAACUACCACAGAGUGUGAUAUAGGAGAACUCUCGAGACCUAUGGAGACACGAAAGAUGGAUUUCCUAACCUAGAUUUCAAUGGAUCCAGGAAAGAUUCUUGGAAGAAAUGGUACGUGAGAAUGAGUGGCAAUUACUCAAGGAAGAAGCUCAAGGAAUCACAUAUUCUAAGUCCCCAAGAUAAGAAAUCUCCAGGGAGUUCCCGUCGUGGCGCAGUGGUUAACGAAUCCGACUAGGAACCAUGAGGUUGUGGGUUCGAUCCCUGGCCUUGCUCAGUGGGUCAGGGAUCUAGCGUUGCCGUGAGCUGUGGUGUAGGUUGCAGACACAGCUCAGAUCCCACGUUGCUGUGGCUCUGGCAUCAGCUCCAAUUAGACCCCUAGUCUGGGAAUCUCCAUAUGUUGUGGGAGCAGCCCUAGAAAAGGCAAAAAGACAAAAAAAUAAAUAAAUAAAAUGAGAUUUCACUUUGUACCCACUAGUCUGGAAAAAGCAAGGCACUGAAUAACAGUAAGCACUGGGGAGGAUACAAGGAUACUAAAACUCUCUUGAACCCUGAAGGAAUAGAGACCACUGCAACUUAUUCUGGAACACAAUCUUGCAGUCCUUCAAUAAAAUAUAUGAAUACCCUAUGAUCCAGAAAUCACACUGCUGGUUAAAUAUUUCAAAGAAAAUACAACGAGUUCCCUGUUGGUAUAAUGGUUAGGAUUUGGUACUUGCAACACUGCUGUCUGGGUUCAAUCCCUGGUCUAGGAACUGAGAUCCCACAUCAAGCCACCACACAUGGUGGCGAAAGAAAGAAAGAAAGAAAGGAUGGAUGGAAGGAAGGGGGAGGAAAACAUCACAGAGGUCUAAAAAAUAGGAGAGCAAACAUAUAAACUCUGAUAAAUACUGAUUUGGAGGGAGUUCCCAUCGUGGAGCAGCGGAAAUGAAUCCGACUAGGAACCAUGAGGAUGUGGGUUUGAUCCCUGGCCUCACUCGGUGGGUUAAGAAUCUGGCUGUCGUGUCGGCUGCAGACGUGGCUUGGAUCCUGCAUUGCUCUGGUUGUAGCAUAGGCUGGCAACUGUAGCUCCGAUUAGACCCCUAGCCUGGGAAACGCCAUAUGCCUCAGGUGUGGCCCUAAAAAAGCAAAAUACAUACAUACAUACAUAGAUAUACAAAUAAAUAAAAUUUUUUUUAAAAUACAGAUUUUGAAAUAUUGUGCAGCAGCUAGGAGCAAUGGACAGUGACACAAACAGAUCCUUAAAACAUAGGAGAGAAAAAAAAUGAGAUCAUGCAUGAUAUCACAUCUAUAAAUUUAAAAGGUGGGCACCCAAAACACAACAUUUAAUAACACAAACUGGACAUCCCCCAGUGGCGCAGUGCGUUAAGAAUCCAAUAGCCAAAAAAAAAAGAAUCCAACUUCAGCACAGUAGGGCCACCGAGGAGGCACAGUUGGAUCCCUGGACCAGAAAAGUUGCAUAAGAAUCCAACAUUACCACAACUGCAGCGCUCAGAUUUAAUCCCUGGUCUGGAAACUUCCACAGGUCGCAGGUAAGGCCAAAAAAGAAAAACAAACAAACAAACAAACAAACAAAAACAUUCCAAUGGAGGAUAUACAUUAUACCUGUUGGAAUGGUUGCCUAUGGGUUGAUGGGCAAGGAAUUGCGUGGUAAUUGGAAAUAAAAGACAAUGAGGAGUUCCCACUGUGUCAUAACAAGAUCGGUGGUGUCUUAGAAGCACUGGGACACAGGUUCGAUCCCCAGCCUGGCACACUUGGUUAAGGAUCUGGUAUUGCCACAGCUGCAGCUUAGGUCGAAACUACAGCUUGUAUCAGAUCCCUGGCCUUGGAACUCCAUAUGCCACAGGGUGGCUGAAAAAGAAAGAAAAAAAAAAAAAGUCAGUGAGUGGAAAAAACAGGAGACAGAUGUGGAAAAGCCCAGUGACAAUCACUGAAUUGGGAAGGAUUAACUCAAGGUUUUGCACCUGCGGUCCAAAACAAACUCUAAGGACUCACCUAACAUAGAGGACACCAUGUCAUCCUACCUUCUGAUGAGAAAGGCACAAAAUCAGCUCACUACUUUUAGAGUUCGAAAUGUUAAGACUGUUAACAUAGAUAAGCCUGAUAAACUACCCCACUUCCUUUGCUUCAAAACAGAACUUAUGGUCAAAUAAAAAGGAACCAGUUCAAGUUCCUAUUUCCUGCCUUUGGUAAAUGUCUGGAGUUAGGGGCUACAUCAGAGGUUCAAUAACUCACUGAGUCCCACCCUCACUAGAAGAACUGAGACCUGCAGAGCUCACAUUCUCUCAGCUGACCUGCCUGUGAGGUGGAGUGUCUGGGCCAGUGACCAGGACAAAGGCAAUUAUAACAGUCGCUAGAAGCAAGGGUGAUGCUCUCCCCACUUUACUGAAGAUACUGCAGGUCACAGUUGCCAAUCACCACAUAGUUAAUAUUCUUCUGUUGGAAUAAACUUUGGUCCCAAGAUCUGUGUUUUUUCCCUAUUUGCUAUACUGUCUGAGAUGGCUCUAAACUUGAACCCAAGUGAAAACAAAGGCUGGCAUUCCCUUCCAUCAAAAAAAAAAAAAAAAAAAAAAA